GUAGGGUGCGAGCGUUAAUCGGAAUUACUGGGCGUAAAGCGUGCGCAGGCGGUUUUUUAAGAUAGGCGUGAAAUCCCCGGGCUCAACCUGGGAACUGCGCUUAUGACUGGAAGACUAGAGUAUGGCAGAGGGGGGUGGAAUUCCACGUGUAGCAGUGAAAUGCGUAGAGAUGUGGAGGAACACCGAUGGCGAAGGCAGCCCCCUGGGCCAAUACUGACGCUCAUGCACGAAAGCGUGGGGAGCAAAC
rnacentral:rRNA from 1 species